rnacentral:lncRNA from 10 species
GAAGAAAGUCCUUUCAUGCACUAAAGAAAAGUUAGUACCUACAGGUGGAAAUAGAGUUAUAACUGAUAAUUUAUUGAUACCUAAACAGAAGAAAAAACAUGGUUUUUUUCCAAUCAUGAGGGCACAAAAAAUUUCUAUAUUGGCAUCAUACUUUACUGUUGCAAAAGUGGUCUUUCUGUAACUCUCUUAAACAUUUAUUUCCUCAUAAUCACAGAGAGCGUUUUCCAUGUGAAUUCGCACAAAUUCCUUGCUUAGAAGCCCUCACUGGCUCUCCCUCAUCCACCCAGUAAGUCCCAGAUUCUUGAACAAGACUUGGCCUAUAACUCUCUCUCAUGUCUCCUGCAACUGCCAAUCUGUCACUCUCUCAAGAGCCCUGCAAAAACCAUGCUACUCAAUAAACCACAGACGUCCUUUCUUUCUAUGCCCACUUAACGUUACUUUUCAUUCAGAUCUUUUAUAUCCCAUCUUCUCCAGAAAGCUUUCUCUGUACCCUCUUCUCAAACAAGAAUAAAUCUUUGUAUCCUGUGCUAGGAUAUAAUGAAAACAGAUCUUCUGUAUUAAUUUGUAUUAAUAGCUUUUUAUGUUAAGUUGAAUUUUUCCAUGUUUGUUCCAUCAAGUUCCUCCCCUAAGAUUGUGGGUGUUCUCAGAAUUGAGUAUGUGCCCCAACAUCUAACAUGGUAUCUAGUCCAUAAUACGUGUGAGAUUGUGCUUGUUGACCUGAAUCAUGGAAAAUGCCUGGGCCGUAUAUGAAGUACAGAAGAGCUCCAGGUGUGAGGUAGUGCUUGGUAAGAUAAAGACUUCAAUGUAGCACCUGGUAUUGUGAGGGUGACCUGUCUUUCCUGGGUCUUCAGCAAUGUAGGAACUUCUUUGGCAGUAGUUUUAAUUUAAUCCUUUAAUCUCUAAUUUUGCAGCCCAUUUAGAAAUAAAAAAAUUACAAGCAAAGCUUUUGGUUUCCAUCUUAAUUGUAUUACUUUAUCACCAAUAUAGAACAGAGAGAUCCAUAGUGGAUUACAAUAAGUGGAGAGGCCCUGUAGCUGGAGUGUGCCUGCAGAAUUUCUAAGAAGGCCAGCAUGCCUGCAGCAUAGAAAGCAAUGGAGAAGGGAAAUGGAGGAUGAAGUCAGAAUGGCGACGAGGGACCAGAUGGUGGAGGCUUUCAGGUCAUUAAGGGCUUUACUUAUUUUGAAUGACGUUUAUUUUGACAACAAUUAAUGGGUUUUGAGCAGAGGAGCAAGAAGACACGACUUACAUUUUAUCGGGAUCAUUUCAGCAUUCUUGAAUAAGUUGAAAAGAGAAAUCAUUUAGAAAACAUCUGCACCUAUCCAGCAAACAUGAUCGCUGGAGAUGCAGCAACUAUCUUGGACAACAAGGUGACAAGAAGCUUAAUUUGACAACAAUACAAAAAGAUAGUAUCCUGUGUCCCUGAUGACACCAAGAGGGUGCAUAAUAUUUUCCUGCAGAUGUGGAACUUACAUAUAUGGAGACCCAAUGGAAACCUCCUGGGUUUUCUAUGCAGACAAUUAUGUCUGCAAAUAAUGAGUUUUCUAAACAAAUUCCUUUCUGAUUUUUUUUUUGCUUGUCUUAUUACAUUGCCUAGGAAUAACAUUAUUAUAAUGAGUAGAACUAGUGAUAACAGUCUUUUGUCUUUUUUGUGCAUUUAAUGCAAAUGCUCAUCUUUACUAUUAAGUGUGCUAACAGCUGAAGUUAUCAGGUUAAUAUACUUCACCAGGUUAAGAAGGUUUGUUUCUAUUUCUGUUUUGUUAAACUACAAAAAAAAUCAUAAAUGAAAAUUAACUUUUCCUCUUGAUUUAUCACAUUUAUUUAAAUAAACACAGUUAUGAUUUCUCUUUUAAUCUACUAAAAUGUUGGAGUCUUCUCUAAUGUUGACCCAUCAUUACAUAUCUAAGAUGUCUGAGAAAUACACAUUUGAGGUAAAUUCUACUUGUUUAUGGUUUUGUAACCAUACCAGACAAACCUGUUUCAACUUUUAUGUAAGAAAGUUGUGAGUUUUUCAGUUGCUAUGGACCCCCACACAUUGACAGUCACAUAACCUGAGCAUGCCCAGUUGAACCAACUAUGCAACCACAGUUGGAACUUAAGUGCUCAGACCAAGAAACAGGGACUUAAUUAAGACAUGGAUACCACAUGGAACAAUCCAGGAUCCAAUCAGAUCAAGACUUGGUGUCACCUUAUAGCAGGAUCCUGUCAGAUCAAGAGAUCCAUGCCUAGUGGAAUCAUCUGAUUUAAAAAUCCAAUCAAAUCACACCUCAUUACUCUAUAGCUAUAAGACCUGCCCCAGCUCUCCAGCUCAAGGAAAUGGAUUUGAGCCUUUCCUCCUAUCUUCUUGCCAGUCAGCUUGCAGAGAACCUUUUCUUUUCUCCAAAGCCAGUGCCAUGACAUUGGCUUGUAUGGGUAUCAGGCAGUGAGCCCACUGAUUGUUUGGUAAAAAAUUUUAAGUGACAUUUAAAAUUUUAAAUAAAAUGUGAAUUUUGACUUGCUGACACUUAUCUUGGGAGUUCUCCAUGAACGUUCAUAAUUCUGAUUGACCUAUAAUUUUGUCUUAUUGAACUGCCCUUGCCUUAGUCUGGUAUUGAUAUUUUAAUAUUCUCUCAAAGACCUGAGAAGCUUUUCCUAUUUCUUUACUUUCUGAAGCAGUUUAUAAAAUAAGUGGAUUAUAUUUUUCAUCACGUGUAGAAAAUAAAAAAUUCUUGGCCCUAGUAUCUUAACAUUUUUCUAAUAAAAAUUAAUUUUUAUUAUAAAAAUUAAAAUUUGUUAUUAAAAAUUUAAUUUUUUAAUUGUAAAAAUUUUUUAUUAUAAAAUUUAAAAAAUUAUUACAAAAAUUAACAAUUUUUUAUUAUACUUUAAGUUCUGGGGUACAUGUGCAGAACGUGCAGGUUUUUUACAUAGAUAUACACAUGCCAUGGUAGUCUGCUGCACCCAUCAACCUGUGAUCUGUAUACAUUAGGUAUUUCUCCUAAUGCUAUCCCUCCCCUAGCCCACCACCCCCUGACAGGCCUGGUGAAUGAUGUUCCCCUCCCUGUGUCAAUGUGUUCUCUUUGUUCAGCUCCCACUUAUGAGUAAGAACAUGCGGUGUUUGAUUUUUUGUUCUUGUGUUAGUUUGCUGAGAAUGAUGGAAAAAUUAUGAUAAA